rnacentral:rRNA from 1 species
UCAACUUGAGAGUUUGAUCCUGGCUCAGGACGAACGCUGGCGGCAGGCUUAACACAUGCAAGUCGAGCGCACCUUCGGGUGAGCGGCAGACGGGUGAGUAACGCGUGGGAAUCUACCCAUCCCUACGGAAUAGCUCCGGGAAACUGGAAUUAAUACCGUAUACGCCCUUCGGGGGAAAGAUUUAUCGGAGAUGGAUGAGCCCGCGUUGGAUUAGCUAGUUGG